rnacentral:tRNA from 1 species
UGUGGCAUAGCCCAGUGGCAGAGCCCAUGCCUAGCAUGCAUAAGGUCCUGGGUUCAAUCCCCAGUACCCCCA